UACGGGGGGAGCAAGCGUUGUUCGGAUUUACUGGGCGUAAAGGGCGCGUAGGCGGUCAGCACAAGUCAGUUGUGAAAUCUCCGGGCUUAACUCGGAAAGGUCAACUGAUACUGUGCGACUAGAGUGCGGAAGGGGCAACUGGAAUUCUCGGUGUAGCGGUGAAAUGCGUAGAUAUCAAGAGGAACACCUGAGGUGAAGACGGGUUGCUGGGCCGACACUGACGCUGAGUGCGCGAAAGCCAGGGGAGCAAACGGG
rnacentral:rRNA from 1 species